rnacentral:rRNA from 1 species
CACGUAGGGGGCAAGCGUUGUCCGGAUUUAUUGGGCGUAAAGAGCUCGUAGGCGGCUCAGUAAGUCAGGUGUGAAACCUCCAGGCUCAACCUGGAGACGCCACCUGAUACUGCUGUGGCUAGAGUCCGGUAGGGGAGCGUGGAAUUCCUGGUGUAGCGGUGAAAUGCGCAGAUAUCAGGAGGAACACCGGUGGCGAAGGCGGGUCUCUGGGCCGUAACUGACGCUGAGGAGCGAAAGCGUGGGGAGCGAACAGG